rnacentral:tRNA from 1 species
AGGGCAGUAGCUCAGCUGGUAGAGCGCCGGUCUCCAAAACCGAUGGUCGGGGGUUCAAGUCCCUCCUGCCCUGCAA